UUGCUUUCUUUGCUGGCGACCGGCGCACGGGUGAGUAACACGUAUCCAACCUGCCCUUUACUCGGGGAUAGCCUUUCGAAAGAAAGAUUAAUACCCGAUGGCAUAAUGAUUCCGCAUGGUUUCAUUAUUAAAGGAUUCCGGUAAAGGAUGGGGAUGCGUUCCAUUAGGUUGUUGGUGAGGUAACGGCUCACCAAGCCUUCGAUGGAUAGGGGUUCUGAGAGGAAGGUCCCCCACAUUGGAACUGAGACACGGUCCAAACUCCUACGGGAGGCAGCAUG
rnacentral:rRNA from 1 species